rnacentral:lncRNA from 1 species
CUCAAGCAGAAAACAUUAAACAAGCUUAACAUCACCACAAUCAAACCCACUUAAAAUAUCAUACAGCCAUUACAUUUUGGGAGCCCUACUGUUUGUAAUGAACAUAGUCUGCAGGUGCACAGAAGAGAGCGGCUAAAGCCAUUCUAGGGGGAAACAGAUUUGUGAGAGGCACCACAGAGCUCAAAUACAGAAGAGUUGUGAUGGGUGUCACACACAGCAGCUGCAGAUCACACAGAAACAGGAUGGUUGGCUCCUACUCCAGAGCAGAUUUCUGAUUGAAAUGGGUGGGGAAAAAAACAGCUAUGCAGAUGAACCUGUUUAAAAUUCUUGUGGAGGCUGAAGUGAGAUGAUGUAUCAAGCCCAAAGCACCUUCCACCGCAUCUCUGACAACAUUCAGCUCAAGGCGCUCUGACCCCUCAGUUGAUUAUCUGUGACUUGACAGUACUGUCUACAAAAAAAUGCCAGAAAAUUAGCACUUCUGAAUGCUUGUUUUGUAUUCUUCAAGUACAUUAUUAGAACUCGAUUGUCAAAAGAAGCAUGCUACACCAUUGUAUUCAUAAUAAAUGCUUUUUGAUUGGUAUGACUUUGUUUUUG